AAACACAAACACUCAGCAAAUGAGGGGCUGGCACCGAUCGCACCAGUGCCUGAUGGGAAACGCAUACCUGUCCAGUUCUGUCUCUGCACUGCUUUAACCAAACCAGGACUGAGAGAUUAAACGGACAGCACAGAUGCCAGUACCGACAUGCAUGCUACGAAUAGUUGGGGUUGAUGAUGAUGGCUGCUGACGGAUGUGACAUCGCAUGACAGAGACUACGAAAAGUUGACGGAUGGAUUACAACUCCUGCAAUAUUCCAUUCAUAAACGCACGUGUGUAAAUUCACUCGCCUUAAGAGUCGAGACAGAAGGAACUUAGCAGAUAGAUAGAAAGAAAGAUAGAUAGAGAGAACAGGAGUGAUGGAUGGGCAAAGCGAGGGACAAAAAGAAAAAGGGAGCACAGACGAGACCUGCAGAAAAUAAACAGGGUGUCUUGUUUCAAAGGCAGGGGACACACAGGCAUUCCAUUGUUCGAGCCAAUUAUCAGAGGCAAAUAAUAACAGCAGAUGGAUCGAGCGAGGAGCGGAGAGCUGCAGAACAGAUGAUGAAAUGUGAGAGAGGAGGAGGAGGAGGGGUCAAACUACCAUGGUCCUAAAGCCCAACACACCAGAUGUGGACAGUGCACAAACUCUAUCACUGGCCUUGACUGCUGCUACGACCCCGCCGCACUGACAUGAGAGGAUGAUCUGGAGCUAAAACGGUCUCGUAGAAAUGUUGAGAAUAUUAUGAUUAAGAAGACGAAGAAAAAGGUGAAGAAGAAGAAAAAAGACAGAAGAAGA